AUAGGAUCAAAAAAUUAUUAAAGUGAAAUAUCACAGAAGCUCAUUUGAUUGACACUUCAGGAUUUUUUUUUAAUACGCUGCAACUGAAAAAGGAAAUACAUUUAUUUCUGAAAACCUGCCCCCCAUAGAAAGGAGCACAUCUUUUUGUCAUGCUUAAAUACUAAUAAGUUAAUAAGAUUACUGCUGCCCACUAAAUG